rnacentral:lncRNA from 1 species
CUGGACGCUUCAUCUGCUCACCCCAACCUCAAAGGACCAGAAACUGCUUGCUGGUGUCCCUCUCCUUUCCCACCUAGCUUUUUUUGUUUUCUUGAGAGCUGAUUCCAAGAUGUUGAGUCCUCAAUGUAAGCAUGAGUAGUCACCCUUGUACAGAGCUAAGAUAUUCUGACCUGGAAUAGACGGGAUUUGAAUUGUUUAAUGGCUAAGGUCAUAUUCUGUACUUAAUUGUACUUAUACGAAGAAUAUGCUUUCAAGAAGUGUUUUGCUUUUCAAAUCUGUUCCAUUAUAUUAUAGGAAAUAGUGAUUAUUGUGACCAAUAAUUUAUAAAAAAAAAAAAGUAUGUUACGGUUGUAGAUAGAUGUGGCUUUGUAGCAGCCUUCAUGCACAAUGGAUUUUAACAGGAUUAGCAGAGCUCUGGGCUUCCAUACUCUGCCAUAUGUUUAAGGAAUUUUGCCCUUAAUCAUUUUCCUUCAGCAUGUUUGAAACACCUCUCCAUGUCCUGUUUCUUGAAUGAUUUUACAAUUCCUUGAAUAUAUGCAUAAAGGGGCAAAUUAAUCCCCAAUGUUUUGUUACUUAUCAGGUGGGACAUGAAGUAUUGUCUACUGUUGGGAAUGGUAUGAGUUUUUAUAUUCUUAAUUACUGUAACAAUUUAGCAUUUGAAAGUCUGAGACAGUGUCAGGAUUGAUAGUCAAAACCAAGUUCUUCAUCAAAACCAAGUUCUUCAACCCUUUCAUCCUCCAAAUUAAAUGUAUAUUUAGGUCCCUGUGAUUCUGAUUCUGAGAGGAAGCGUUCACCCAAUCCGUGGAUAACUGAACUCAAGACUCCGCAGUACCUGCGAUGCUAAGCCCCUCCAUGUACUAUCAAAUGACAUUUCAAUAGAUGAAAGCUAGUGAGGUCCUUUUGUAUUUUCUUUCUUUCUCCCUCCUCCCCCAAUUUAAAAACAUGGAAAGGCUGGCCUGGUGGCACAUGCCUUUAAUCCUAGCACUUGGGAGGCAGAGGCAGGUAGAUCUCUGAGCCAGACUGGUCUACAUAAUAAGUUAGUGAACAGACAAAACUACAUAGUGAGACCUUGUCUCAGAACAACCAAACAGAUCAGUAUGGGAAUCAUCUGUGAUUUUUCUUGCAUACGUGCUUUUCUUUGCCACUGGAGGUUAACUCACCAAGACAUGCAUAUGACUUGUGCAGUGUAAAGAAGCACUUGGUGCUGGAAUAGUAUGGAAAUGUAUUUAAUUUUUUAAAAAACAAGACUCAUGAGUCUUGAAUACUUGGUGAAGUUGUGCAUGUGCAGUGAUCACUAAGACACCAAUAAGAAAGAAAAAGACACAAAAAGUCUCUGUAUUUUGAUGUUUGAAGAAUCCAGUUCAUCUCUGGAUGGACCUUCUCAAAGUGGAUCUUAGUGGUGAUGAUGGGGUCUCAGUAUAAUUGUUUUAUGUUUGAUGUCAUGUUUUGAUUUCAGCUGAAAUUGUACCUCUCAUUGGCCUUUGACUUCAGAAAAAGCCCCGACUAGGACGGACACAUAGGGAAGGAAGCAUCUAUGCCCAAGAGAAUGACCUAGGAUCAGUGUCAGCCUUCGUAGUUUUUUAAGCUCCUUGGCAGGUCGUACUGUAAUAUUUCCACAAAACAGUAGUGAACGGCCCUCUGAAUAAUAAGCAACUUUUCAAGAGCCAAAACACGCACUGUGCAGCAUGCUGGGACUAGAAUAUGGAAAUUGUUUUAAUUUCUUCUUUUCUCUUAUGAGGAAAUCACUGCACUUGGUUUGUCAAGACAAGACAGUUCAUUCCCCUGUAUUGAAACAGUGAUGAAUUGAAACAUGUUGGAGCAAGUUUUUAAAGAAAAUCAAAAUUAAACUGGUUUUUCUUAAAUAGCUUAAAGCGUUCCACAGUACACAAUAAAUGAAGCAUUGUAAAAUGAACUUAAUGCAAGUAAUCACUUAAGAGAGAAGUUUAAGCAGAUAGAUAUAUAUAUACAUACACAUAUACAUCAUCAGUCUUGCAGUUCCAGGCUAUAAUUAAUUCUCAGAAACUUGCUGAAUUCCCUCUAAUUUUGUUUCUAUAUAUACUUACCAAGACAGGGAGCAAAUGUGUGUCAAUAUGUAGCAUGACAAAGAGAACUUGGGUGAAGUUUUCUACUUGUGGAGACCCAUUUGGACUGGGCUUGAAAUAUCUCUGGGUAAAUCUCAUCUGUGGCAGUGUCCCCACACUACAGUAAGGCUUCCAUAACCAUUCUAAGCAAAGACUGCGCUUUUGUUUAUUGAAGUAAAAUCAGUAAAAGUGUGCAGUUGGCUCCCCAAGGCAGCUGACCGGUGCUAAUAGGUGCUAAUUUGACAGAUUCUCAGAAUGAGUUUCCAGAUGGAAUUAGACAGUACCACAAUCUCCAGGAGAGCCCUGGUCCUUUCAUUCAAGUAUGCUUAAUAGACUGAGUGUCCACAGAAUAAAAACACUUUUGUUGUGAAAAUGUACCUGUUUUAUGAAUAAACAUGUGGGUUUUGUGAAUUU